AAGGCCGAGAGAACACGUCUGUCAAGACAAGACUGCCAAGAGAUCUAACAAUAUGGAAGGCGUAAAGAUAUUGUUGGUGUUGUGUUUAAUAUUGAAAUGUUGUAACUGCUGGGUAAAUCAAUAUGAUGGACCACUAUCGUAUGAAUGUCUUCCCGGACAAGUGCUUACUAAAAUAUUCAGUCAACAUAAUAAUUAUUAUCAGGACAGACAAUGGGAUUUCCAGUGCGCCAACACGGGUGUUUUAGCACCAUCGGGUUCAUGCCACUGGACUAAUCAGGUCAAUCGGUAUGAUAGAGGAAUGGAUUUUAAAUGUCCAGGUACAGGUGCAAUAACCGGUAUCAGGGGUACCAAUAACAACUAUUAUGAGGAUAGGCAAUAUGACGUCAAAUGUUGUGAUGUACAGACACCGGCCACGUCAAAUUUAUGUACAAUGAGUCAAUUUGUAAAUAGAUAUGAUCAAGCGUUUGCUUACGAUAUCCCGUCGCAUAAAUACCUAACCGGGAUAUACAGCGAGAACAAUGAUUAUUAUGAAGAUCGACGUUUUAAGUUCUAUCUAUGCGAUCGUCCAGAAUGAUGAUUUGGAAUUGCUAAUCCAGAAUGAUACUUUGCAAGCCUCUCUUUAAGAGAAUGAUAAAAUAAAAAUGCAUUUCAAA